GAGCUAGCCUCUAAAAAGGGAAUCUCUUCUGGAUGGAGGUUGCUUCUUGAGAAGAAACAUUCUAUAGCUAGAGACUCUAUCACCAGUCUGCGCUGCUUGUUGUUCCAAUUUCUUUUUUGCACGCUGGCUUGGAAUUAGAUCACCAGAAUUGAAAUGAAGAGUUGGCAUGCAGCAAGGUGUCUUCCACUUCCCACACAGAUCCUGGGCAAAUUUGUCAUUCGCUUCUCUUCUCAGUCCCAAAAUAAUAGAAAAAGUUUCUUGCUUCAGUUUACUGGUAGUUCUCCCUGAGACUCAAGAACAGAGCUGAACAAAAGAUGGUGACCAAAUUUUGGAGAGUGUAACAAACUGAUAGGACUGAAAUUCACGAUUAUUGUGCGAAAUACUUGAUAAAGGCUAUGAAGAUAUUUCAGACAGGAUGGCAUGAAGAGGUUUUGUUGAACGUAGGUGCAGUUCCUGAGUAUCAUAAAGCUUUCUCCAUUCCUUCUGCCAUCCUCGCCAGCACACAAAGCCAAGGUAUGGAUCCUAAUCUCACAUGACUGCAUAAAUCAAGAGCAGCGUUAUUGAUGACUGUAGACUCACGCUGGCAUAAUAGCAAGUAAGUGAAAGAAGAGCUACCUCUGCUGACAGCCAGAGAUUCCAAAAAGAAUCCCUAACUAUACACACGCUUUUGUUGUCUGUGGUGUGCAGGAGGGGACAGAAAUGAAUGCAUGUCAGGUGAAGAGAGGGCAGAAGGGGAAUAUGCAUGAGAGUACUGAAGUGUCACUGCAUCACUGAUCUUAAUGGCAAUUAAAGUUGCAUCAGUAGUCUGUUACAGUUGAGAUUUUAACAGUUAAUUUGAUCAAGUAAUUCUUAUGGAUUUCUUCUAUAGUGUACAGAAUCUUAAUGUAUUUUAUGUUUUAUUUUACUAAUAUCCGGAUUGUAAACAUCUUGCAAGUGUGAGCCAAUACCCCUGUGAAUAGUACUUCAGUAAGACUGCAAGGGAAAACAAAUGUUUACAAAUGAUAAGACUUCUAGUCUACUUCUUCCACUAUUUUCCUAUACCCAGUUUUGGAAGAAAUUGAAGGGAAACUUGGUUGAUAACCAUUUAUGUGCAUGGCUGUAAUUCACGCUUAAUUCACAUAGAAGUUGUUUCAGAGUGUUACUAUCAGCCUGGAGCUUGGAAAUUUAAAUCAAGUGAAUGAUAGUGUCUUUAAUGUCAUUCAUUAUUUGAUGAAGGUUAGGGAAAUAAAAUUCCUUCAUUUUUCCACUAAAAUAAAUAAAGAGAAAAAUUUAUAAAUGCAAGAAAUAUUCUUGCAUUGGAUUCCUCCUUCAGAUGAAUGAGUGAAGUUUAUGGUGAGAAGGUAUGGAAUGCAUGGUUUUUGAAAAUCCAGCAACAUUAGGACCACAUUGAUAAUUAUCAAAUUUCUUAUAAGUCAUGGCCAUAUUUUUCUCCUCUGCUGCUUUAUCCCCUCUAUUAAUGGUGUAAAGGACUAAUGGAUGGGAUGUGGCAAUUGGCCACUUUAUUUUUUAAUAUAGUACAGAAAAUUAUAUGAGGAAAAACUUUGGUUCUUUACUCAGAGUAAAUAUCCAGUAACUUACUGUUUCAAUUUCUGUAGGCAUCAGUGGGAUUAAUCUACACAACAUUUUAAGCACAAUGACCAUGGAGAAGUUCUGGUUCAUGAGAUUAUUCUUUUGCUCAGUGUCUCUCAUGUCUUCUCCCUCCCUGAUCUAAUCUGAUACACUGAUUUAUUUAGAUUUAGAUGGAAAUAUUAAAACAAGUGAAAAGUAUUGUCAUUCUUGUCUUUUGCUAUGAAGAAAGAGCUCCAUGCAAAUCCUGCUACUGGAGCCACUGCCUAAAUUUGAGUUAUGUUUAUGAAUUCCACAAAGAGCAUUACAGUUUCAAUCUCUAGUUUCCAAGUGCAGGCAUGGAUAUUACCAGAGUCAGCUCAAAGCUAUCAAUCAUUAGAAAGCUUAUUGAGUGUUCAAAAUAGUUCUAUCAAUAUCUCAUUUGCUGUCUGAUCUAAUGCAUAGGCUCUAAUGCCAAUGCAAUGACUCCAUCUUUCAAAUGAUAAAACAUGAUUUCUUGCAAGUAUUUGUGAAAGGCUUAUAUUUUUAUGUUUGGCCCAUUGAGUUAGAUGGAUGUGUUUGUCCUACUUUGCUGUUCAGCUGAUAGCUGUGAAGAAAAAUUGCUCUUACAACAUGUAUUUCAAGACCAUGUAAGAGGAAUAUCAAAAUAAAUACUUCAAUUAAAUAUUUCUCAAAGUUA